CCGUGUUCAGAAAAGAAGGCUCCUUUACAGUUGUUUUGCCAACGAGAAAGGCUUGUUGUCGAGCCCUGUGUUUUAUUCUGAAAGAGAACUGAAAAAAGAGGAGCCACAGCCGUUUGUAAAAAAUCAAGGGAGAAUGGAAGAAGAGCCUAUAUAUGAGGACAUGGCAACCGAGGAACAGCCGCAGGAUAGCGAUGUUGAAAACCAACCUAUGGACCCCGAGUUGUGGAAAGAUGGCGAUAUUGUUACGAUAACCAAGCCUGGGCCGUACAAGAUUACUGCUUUGGUGUGUAACAAACUGCCAACAGUUGCAGAGACAGAAACACCCGAGGAGGCUGCUGAAACUAUGAUUGACGAAGGUGAUUCAGAAACAAAGGACACAAACGGGGUGUCAAUAGUAAAACCCAAAGAACACU